CUCCGGAUCUGGGAUCAGAUUGUUCAGAGAGACGACUCUCAAAAAAACAAUAAAAAUCAGGUUUAUAUUGCCCGAUCAUAGCUUUACCAUAGUUAACAAAAAUGGGUCUAGCAGUCCACCUACAAUUCUAUGCUAGAAUUUUAAUUCAUUGAUCUAUGACUUUUCGCCCCUCCAUACUUGGGCUAGCCUUUACAUUCUCCUCUAACAACUUAAAUUCAACCCCCGAGG
rnacentral:lncRNA from 1 species